rnacentral:rRNA from 1 species
UACGGAGGGUGCAAGCGUUAUCCGGAUUCACUGGGUUUAAAGGGUGCGUAGGUGGGCAGGGAAGUCAGUGGUGAAAUCUCCGGGCUUAACUCGGAAACUGCCAUUGAUACUAUCUUUCUUGAAUACCGUGGAGGUCAGCGGAAUAUGUCAUGUAGCGGUGAAAUGCUUAGAUAUGACAUAGAACACCAAUUGCGAAGGCAGCUGGCUACACGAAUAUUGACACUGAUGCACGAAAGCGUGGGGAUCAAACAGG